AAUUUACUGUACUCUUUCUUAGAAUAAGGGAAAGACUGAGAUAAAAGUUGCAAUUUGCUGACUAUCCAUGGCCCAUUUUUGUGGUCACCUGGACCUAACCAUUUUACUUCUUUUGCCUCAUGGGUUAUGAUGUUCAGAACUACCCCCCAAAUUUCCAGAACCAGGAAUCUGCUCUUUUUAAAGUACAGCUCUACCAAGUCUCAGUCACAGAUGACCACAGUCUGAGAAAAUUAUAGCUGGCAUUGCCAAGCUAUGUAUUUAUGUUCUCCUCUUCAACAGCCAAAGGCUGACACCAGAACUUCCACAUGAACAGUUAUGAAAGAAACUGCAUAGCAUAGAAAUUCUGUAGAUAACUUUGAAAACAAAAGCAUGUUGUCUACAUUAAAUUAAAAAUUCAGCUGCUGUGUUAAGUUUCCAUUAGGUAGAAAAAAUGUCAGUGUACAAUAAAGUUACUGGUAAUGUAGUGAAAAUAAGGGAAAAGGCUUACAAUAACCAACUGUUUUUUACUGUAUUUGUUUAUGACAAAUCUCAGUCUCUCACAGGGACACAUUGACAAAUUUUUAAAACAUCGCAUUCUUCUCUUUCUUUUGUCUGUUUAAUGUGGAGUGAAACUACUGCUGAACUACAUUGAUGCCCAUGCCCACUCCCCCCUCCCUUUUUCCUCCUCCCCAAACCCUGCCAAUUUACCUGUUACUAUGACUUAGGAAACAACUAAAUCUUAGACAAAAAGGCACAGUACAAAGUCUAAUCCCCAGUGUUACAUCAGCUGGUUCCUGGAACAAGUUUAUAAACAUUUUAGUGACCAGGCAGGAGACAGGUGGAGAAGAGUCUUGCUGAUCAGCUGGAAGAGAUGACAGUGAGAAGAGGGGGCUUGUGGCUCAUGUGAGGCACUGAGCAUACAAAUGUGCACUCAAUCUUUACUGCAGAUGUCCUGUAGGCCCUGCUGCCAUCAGAUGGCACCGAAGGCCUCUGUGCUCUGAUAGCCCUUUUGGAUAGUCGUUGGUGAAGGAAGCUGAGAUGCUGUCCUCCUCACUGCAGAUCACACCUUGGAGCAGAAGUGGCAAAAUGUGAUGCUUGCCCUGGUCCAAGCUAUUGCUGGGUUCAGUUCAGCAGUUGUGUAAACCCAGGUACACCUACAGCUGUAGAAAAGACAUUGCCUUGCAGAGUGGGUAGGUAGGGGACAACGUUCUCCUGCCUACAGAGGCAGUCAGCUGCCCAGGCUCAUUUGUCAGGUUCUUUGGUUGUGCCAAGGAAAGGGGACCUGAAAAUGCUGAACCACUGAGAUGCGGCCACUUCACCCAAAAAUUAGCACAAAACAACCAACAGUGGCAUGCUUUGGCAAACUGAUUGCCAACAGGAACCAAAGAGCCUCAGUGCCAACCAGUUCCUGUUCUGGAGCUUGUUUUGACACUCAACUUCUCUCACAGAACAUGCCCUGGGAGGGCUGAGGUAGCAUUGCUGUAACUCUUCUCCCUUCUUCUACCCUCAGAUACACAUUGCCCUGCGAGCAAAGAGGUGCAGCAACCACACUCCUCUGAAGAGGCUGGAAUCCAUAUCUGAGGAAUAAACACCAUGCUCAUUGGAGGCACAGUGCAUACUGGCGGUAUUACGGCUCGUGUUGGUGUCUUUCUGCAGGACGGCAGCGUGGAAACAUUUGAGGAGGACUGAACUGCCUGGAGGACAUUGUUGCACUAUUUCAGGUAGCUUUCAUGAACAUUAAGUAUUCAGACAGCAGAGUGCUUCCUUGCAGCUUCAAUAUGUGUGAAGUGAGCCUGGUAACAUUUUUAGUAUUUACCACUAAGGUCAAUAGAAACUAAUUUUUCUACUAAUAAGAUACAGUUUCUAAAAAUCCAACAGCAGCCUUCUCUUCCGCAACAGAAGAGCUUCCCAAAGCAAAGAGCUUGAGGCCUUCCCUCCCACAGCAAAAUCCAAGUAUCCACUUCCUUACAGUAGCUGCUCUUUGUUACAAUUACACAAUGAAUUCAAAGCAAAGAGGGAUAGGAAUUUUAUUUCCAAACUUCUAAAAGAUUAAUACAAACAAUACAAAGUAGACAAAAUUAAAAACCUAUUAAAAAAAGUUGUUUUUGUAAAAGUGCUCUAUCAAAAAAGUGAAGGCAAAUGACCAAGCACAUUUUAGUAAAUUCAGUGUAUUGCAAACUGUGACAACAUUGCAUGCAAUUGCCUUUGGGUGUUCACAAGUUCUUAAUGUCUAUUUGGUAACAUUUCUAAAUAAGUGAAGGAAAUUCCACCACAGCAGUGCUGUUACAAAUAUACAAAAG